GGUUUCGUGGUGUAGUUGGUUAUCACGUCAGUCUAACAGCUCGAGAGCGUCUCACCCGACCGUCCUCACUGCAACACUGAAGGUCUCCAGUUCGAACCUGGACGAAAUCA